rnacentral:rRNA from 1 species
CCUACGGGAGGCAGCAGUGAGGAAUAUUGGUCAAUGGACGAGAGUCUGAACCAGCCAAGUAGCGUGAAGGAUGACUGCCCUAUGGGUUGUAAACUUCUUUUAUAUGGGAAUAAAAUGUUCCACGUGUGGGAUUUUGUAUGUACCAUAUGAAUAAGGAUCGGCUAACUCCGUGCCAGCAGCCGCGGUAAUACGGAGGGUCCGGGCGUUAUCCGGAUUUAUUGGGUUUAAAGGGAGCGUAGGUGGAUUGUUAAGUCAGUUGUGAAAGUUUGCGGCUCAACCGGAAAAUUGCAGUUGAAACUGGCAGUCUUGAGUACAGUAGAGGUGGGCGGAAUUCGUGGUGUAGCGGUGAAAUGCUUAGAUAUCACGAAGAACUCCGAUUGCGAAGGCAGUUUACUGCACUGCAACUGACACUGAUGCUCGAAAGUGUGGGUAUCAAACAGGAUUAGAUACCCCAGUAGUC